CGACGAGGUGGGACGGCUUCCCGAUGCGGUCAUGGCCUGCGUCGGCGGGGGCUCCAACGCGAUCGGCAUGUUCGACGCGUUCCUCGACGAC
rnacentral:tRNA from 1 species